AUAGCUCAGUGGCAUAAGUGCUUGCCUGGCAAGCAAUAGGUCCUGAGUUCAAUUCUCAGU
rnacentral:tRNA from 1 species